rnacentral:rRNA from 1 species
GACGGAGGUGGCAAGCGUUGUUCGGAAUUACUGGGCGUAAAGGGCGCGUAGGCGGCCCUCUAAGUCAGACGUGAAAUCCCCCGGCUUAACCUGGGAACUGCGUCUGAUACUGGGGGGCUAGAGUUUGGGAGAGGGAUGUAGAAUUCCAGGUGUAGCGGUGAAAUGCGUAGAUAUCUGGAGGAAUACCGGUGGCGAAGGCGGCAUCCUGGACCAAUACUGACGCUGAUGCGCGAAAGCUAGGGGAGCAAACGGG